AUUGAACGCUGGCGGCAGGCCUAACACAUGCAAGUCGGACGGUAGCACAGAGGAGCUUGCUCCUCGGGUGACGAGCGGCGGACGGGUGAGUAAUGUCUGGGGAUCUGCCCGAUAGAGGGGGAUAACCACUGGAAACGGUGGCUAAUACCGCAUAACGUCGCAAGACCAAAGAGGGGGACCUUCGGGCCUCUCACUAUCGGAUGAACCCAGAUGGGAUUAGCUAGUAGGCGGGGUAAUGGCCCACCUAGGCGACGAUCCCUAGCUGGUCGGAGAGGAUGACCAGCCACACUGGAACUGAGACACGGUCCAGACUCCUACGGGAGGCAGCAGUGGGGAAUAUUGCGCAAUGGGCGCAAGCCUGAUGCAGCCAUGCCGAGUGUAUGAAGAAGGCCUUCGGGUUGUAAAGUACUUUCAGCGGGGAGGAAGGCGGUGAGGUUAAUAACCUUGCCGAUUGACGUUACCCGCAGAAGAAGCACCGGCUAACUCCGUGCCAGCCGCCGCCGUAA
rnacentral:rRNA from 1 species